UAUUUCAGCUUUUGUGCCUGUGCUUAUUUGCUGCUUCUUUGUAAUGCUUUCCAGGGGAACAUCAAUAAGGAUUGAUACAUGUCAGCUGUGCUGAGCAGUGUAAUUAUGUGCUUGCACUGAGAAGCUAACAACUUGCUGCAGAAUGCUAGUGGGCACUUAUCUUAGUUUCCAGAUUUGUUAUGCUCUCAGCCACAUACAUGAUUAUUUACAUCAAGAGGUGAAUCAGUAAUGUAUAACUGAGCUUUCAAAAGUUAAUGUAAAUGAAGAAGGAAUCUGUGAGGAGUCAGGUCCUGUAAACUGGGCAUCAUCAGCAACAUCAUGUAAUGAAGUGCUGUAACUGCAGGUUUCUUUGCUUCAGUGCAUUUGGGAGAGGUGAAUGGAAAACACUUGAAAGAAACAUGCUGCAAGCGCUGAGGGCAUUUGUCGUACAUGGAAUGAAAAGGAAAGUUACACCCAUCCACCUUCACGUUCUUCAGCAUGUAACAUCCAGCUGUGUGGCAGAUGGCUGAUCUGUGCUUUGUCCUAUAUACAUCCACAAGGAAUUAUUCAGAAAUAUUAAACCUAAUACAGCAAUCGACUGAGCACAGUUUUGCAACUGGAUUGUACUGAGCUUUUAGAAACUGUGAAAUUGUCUUGCAUGACUCAAAGAGGACAGCUCUUCAGAAAACAGCCCUGGCUUUCAGGAACCAUUGAAGCUGCAGUUUAUGUAGCAAUAUGCAGCAAAACUCAAGUUCUCAACCCCAUGACUGUCUUGUAGGAUGAUGCCUUACUCACAACUGUCCUGGGGAAAAGGGACAGAAAUGUCCUUUGGGCCUGUAGUUGAUAUGUGAUAGUGGAUACUGGACUGAAGCAUAUGUAACACAGAAAGCUCCCUGCACUACUAUUCCCCCUUAAAGUAGGCGGUACAGGAGGAACAGGAGAGUGAGCUAAACCAGAGGGAAGUAAAAGAAGAGGAAACUUGACGGUAAGGAGCUCGAUCUGCUUCUUCUCAACAGUUCCCCAGUCUCUUCACACCCAGAGCUUGUGAGCCUAUCUCUGGCUGCUCUUCUUGGCUUUGAGUUGUGUGGGCAGAAGAAUUAGGAAGAAAAUUUUCCAGGUUUCUGGCAUCUGUUGGGCCAGAGCCUACAGUCUCUGCCCUCUGGAUUGCUGCCAGUCAGAAAAGGCAAAGUACCUGCUAUGGAUGCUCUAAUUCUGUGUGAUAUGGGGACGCUGUGGAUCUAAACAGUGUGACAUCUUUAUUCAUUCUCACUGAUACAGUUGCUCUGGCUCAAUCUGUAUACUACUGUAAUUAUUACCCUUUCUGUACUAUCAGGGAGAUAUCAGAAACAUGAAAAUGGCUCCAAAUUCCCCUAUUAAAUUCAGCUGAACUCAGUAGGAGCUUUGCUCUUCCUUCUGUACAUCAUUGGUAAUUUCAUAGUUUUGGGUAGGUGAAGUCAUGGGGUCAACCUGAGAGGGGUCUGACCAACCUCCUAGGUACCCAGGGUGCCCUUGAUGUCUCAAGGAGUUUUUGCUUGAUUCUGGAAGAAGUGAAUUCCAAUGGGCCUGGCUGUAAAGUGGCAUAUCCUGUGACUGAAGCAGGCAGCUAAUGAGAGACUGAAUCAAUACAUUGCCUUUUUAGGCUUCCAGGUCAUCCUAAAGGGAAUACUCUGUGUAGACCACAGAUAUCCUACUGUAUCUUCAGUAUUAAAUGUCUUCUGUUUAGAUGCUUGAACUCAGAAGAUAAAAAUAUUUCUUCUGCUUUUUGGAUGUUCUACCUAUGAUAGCUUGUGGGAGAGCAGAUUUUCUUCUGAUCUGCUGCUGGUAUAGUCACAUGCUUGGAAUUGUGUCACCCGUCAAACAGCAUCCUGCACCUUUAUCUGUUUGAAGUUUGAUAACACUGACUCUGAAAUGAUAGCAAAAGGCAGCAGAUGAACCAGGCUAGUCUGACCCAUGGAGUUUGCAAUUGAGACUCAUCAAUUUAUCAGGAUACUUUCUAUACUAAGUACACUGGGUUUUUUAGAACGACUUGGAGGUUUGCAAAAUGUCUUUCUGAUUCUACUGGCUACAUGACUAAAAGAACAAUGGAUUUACAGGAUGGGAUGGUUUAGCAUAUGCAAGGCUAAAUUUUGAUUGUGGGGAAAGCUGAAUAGAACUGACAAGUGCAUUACCCUCUGGAAUCAAUACAUUCAGUCUGCUGACUGUUCAGAACUGGCCUAACUUUUGUACCUGAAAUCAAUAACCAAGACUUAGUGGGAACUGCAUCUAGUAAAUAAAUAAAUAAAUAAAUAAAAAGUAAAUUUAAAAAAAAAAAUAGCUAUGUAGUGCUAUGGUUAAAUUGUCAAAGAUGACAAGGACAAGAUAGGUUCUUGUAAUGGCUAAAUAGUGCAUGCUGGAGAACUGGAGCCUUUGAAAAUAUAUCAUAUUAAAUACCAAUCUCAGAAGUAACCAAACUCAUUAUUCACAUUUAAUGAUUGUGCCAAUCAAAAUAGUUUAAAUGGUCACUGCUGUUAUAUCUCAGCUCUAGAAUAUGACAUGGACAUCAGCCCAAAUGAAUGAUUUUAUUCUUUAGACAGGAAAAAAACAAACUAACAAAAAAAAAAAACAAACAAAAAAAACCCACCAGCAUUAAAAUGACCACUGCAUGUUGUAAUAGUGGCCACUUCUAUUACUGGAGCUGACCACAUAUUUUUCUCUCGUAACUGUUUACUGGACUGUUUCUCCUGGAGUUCCUCAAGUACUUUCCAGAUUGAGACCUCUUCUGAUCUUGUUCUACUUUUGUAGCAGCUGAGUAAUUUCAAUGAAGGAAAAAAAAAAAGGAUUUGAAUAAUGAUUAUCUUCUUAUUAAAUGAUUGAGAACAGUUGAUUCUUUUUCAUGACUUUAUUCAUACCUAAGUGUAUUUUAUGAAUGAUGUAGUUAAAGCAGGCUUUCUGGUUUUUACCACCUCAUCUCUGACAUGUUAGUUGUCUUGCAUGCUGCAUGUUUUCUCCUCUUGAGUUCACCAUUAAGAAGCUCAAUUUAAGACUCCUUUCUAGUAACUCAACUUUAUUUACUCAAAGCCUUCUGUUUGCUUCAGGUAUGGUUACAAUGCAGAUGAUACUACUCUGCUGAAUGAUCACCUCUUCCUAAUGUGUAUAUAAAGUAGAUUUUUUCAAACCAAAACCUCCAGUAUAGCUUCUUGAAUACUUCAGAGCUACUCGAAUUGCUAUAAAAAAGGAUUUUCUAAGAAUAUGGAUAGUAAACAUAAUCUGACAUGCUGGUAAUGAGAAUGUCUAAAAAGCUUUCCACUGUGGGCUAACCAUUUGUUCAAAACAAACACGAGCGCAGGUUUUUAUGAAAACUCAUAAUUCCAGAGUCCAGAGUGUGUUUUCCUGCACUACAAAGCAAAAACCUGAAAAUACAAAUGUCUUCCAAACUGAAGCAAGUCUGUGAUUUCCAUUUCAGAUAAAAUGGGAGAAAUAAUCAGUUUGGUUUUCGGGCUCAUCUGCAUUGUCACUAGAUGGCACAUUGGUCUAAAGUUUCAGAACUAUCACUGUGGUGUUGAUCACAGUUAUAGCAGCUGCGUGGAAGAGCUCUAAGUUAUGUACGGGAAACAGCCAGGACAUCACUAUGCAUGUAACUGCCCUCAGUGUGUGUAUCGUAGUACAAUUGUGUAGAUGACUUUGUGAGUCUGCUGUUCCGUAUAUAACUGUUAUAUUAAAUAGAGAUGGCUGAUGUUUAGGUGCUAACAUCCAAGAUAGGUGUGAGGAGAGAAAGAAUGAAGGUGCCUGUCUGACUGCCACAUUUACACACUGGUCUGCUUUGUACUCAUAGCAGCUGGAAGUCACAUCUGGCUGUAUGCAUCAGUGCUUCCUCAGAGCAGCUUUUAUUAUGCAGAGGCUUGUAAUUAGCAGGAAGAUCUUAGGAACUCUAUCUGUAAAUGAGUAAAAUAAGUGGUAAUAUGGGGGACAAAUAAUAAGGAUUUUUGUGUUAGUCUGCAGAGAGAGGUGUAGGCUGCCUCCAGAAUCUCAACAAGGUUCUUUCAGAUGGUAUUUUAGAUGCUGUUCUGAAAAUGUUGAAAAGGGCAAGAUAGAAGCACAUUGCAUUACAUGUUGUCUUUAUUUUAUGCCAGAAUUAAGUGUGUUAUACCCUUAACCACUGGUCUUUUCACUCUGCUGUCCUUCCCUUUUGUUCUUUAUGGAGAAUCCGUUUGCCAACAUCAAGAAGCCCAUUGCAGCUUGGUAAAAUGGGUAGGUUGAUCAUGAAUUUCAGCAAUGCAUUUACAGGCCUGUUUUCUCAUUUGUAAGAAGCACUUUCAAGAGUGCAGCCACCUUCAUUUCUAAAAAUGUUAUGCCUUUUUGAGGAAUAUGCAUGUUGUUUGUUUGUUUGUUUGUUUUUGUCAGUUUUAUUGUUUCAAACUGUUUAUCUAUUUUUUGCUGUGCUUUAUCCUAUGAGGGUGAUAUUCAUAUAUGGAGAAAGAUGUAUGCUUUGGGGAUUUGAGACUACUGGGAAAUUUCACUAUCAGAAAUAAUUUCAAGUUCUGGAUUCUCAAAAACAAAGGAGAAGGCUAAUGAAUAGCAAGAGCAUGGGACUGAGGUCCAUCUCUGGAUGAUGUGCCAUUGAUUUUAUUUAUUUCGAUAAUUUCUUUUUACCUUGACUUUUACCCUGACUUUUCUCAGAUCACAAGAUAAAGCAAUGUAUGUUUGAAAACUUAUAAAAAUACAAUAAUGAAUUCCAGCUUUGGUAAGGCUGUCCUGUAAAGGAGCAGGAAACUUAUGGGAGAAUAAGUGCAUCAGGUGCAUUUUGAGUUCUAAUGCAUAGUAUGACUGAUCCUGAAUCUUAGACUAAUAAAAUCGCUUUUUAUUGCCCACCUUACAUUAUUUUUUCCUUUAUAUAUUAUUAUACAUUCAGUAUUUUGUCCUGAGAUUAGGUCUUAGAUCAGUUCACACAGUCAUCUGAUCCUUUCUCAAGAGUGAGAAAUAGCACACUUACUAUUGUUUUCCUGUAGUUGAUAGAUAUUCUUAACACCAAUCACAUGUAACUAAAAUCCACACCUUCACUAGUAAAGAAAAGUCAGAAAAGACAAAGAGAGCAUGUAAGCUGACAAAAAGCAUAGUGAAGGCAUUAAGGUUAAGGGAUUGGGGUUUUUUUGUGGCUUCUGUUGACACUUCAAAGUAUUUUAAUUUUGAAUACCAAUAAAUGAUAAAUAAUUUUAGCUCACAUAUUUUCCAAAACUGUUAUUUGGGAAAUAGAUACUGAAAAUAUCAAUAGUUUCACUCCAGUAUCCUUUCAUUCCUGAAGAGUUAAUGGAAAAAAUAUUGAUUGGUAGUUCUAGCCAGACAAAUUAACUUUGCUGAGUAGUAGCAUGCAGUGUUACUAUUCAUGAGGCAGUGUUUCACUGCUAUGGAUGUUCCUGUUACAAGUAACUCAGCCACAGCAAUACCUUUGGCAAAACGUGUUGCACUACAAUGCAAAGACACAUUACUUAAUGUGUAAGCUGUGGAAUGGUUUAUUAUGGGCAUUCCUUGGUGCUGAAUUUUGUAUAAAUUCAGAGCUCUGGAAACGAACUUAGAUUUCUUCCUCUUUGAAAAUGACUUUCUAAAGCCCCAGCAUCAGUCACAUCUCCCAAAUUAUUGGCAGUUUCCCUUCUGUACCUGUGAAAAUGACCUUCAAUGUCUCAUGACCACAAAAAUGAACUCCAGUAUGUCAGUUGAGGUUUACAAAAGUAGGAAAGUGAAAUAGUGUCAAAUAAAGGAUUUCUGGCCUUGCAUGUUCUUCAUUUGCAUCACCUUCUUUCUCCUAGGCUUUUCGGAGUAAAAUUACAAUGAAGUCUUGUGAAAUUUAAUUUCCUGCUCUCUGUUUUCUUGGGAAAAGCACAGCGAUAUUCUGUAUCUGAAAAUGUACUCUAUUUAAGCUGUCAUAUCUGGAAAAAGAAAAAAAA